rnacentral:lncRNA from 1 species
AUUCAGAAUCCCAUUCACCACAAUUUAUUUCGGUUGGUUCAGGUUCUGGUAUUGGACAUUCUCCUUCGUCACAUUCUUCGGUUCUGGUAUUGGACAUUCUCUUUCGUCACAUUCUUCGGUUCUGGUAUUGGACAUUCUCCUUCGUCACAUUCUUCGGUUCUGGUAUUGGACAUUCUCCUUCGUCACAUUCUUCAGUAAGUGUAUCAAUGCAACUCUCAUGAUUAGACUUUCUUUUUUUUUGUUUUUAUUCCCUUACCACAAGACGCUGAACAUGUAGACCAUUCAGAAUUCCAUUCACCACAACCUAUUUCUUUUUCGAUAUCAGCACAUACUUCUUUUAUAUAUGGUAUUAAUUGUUUAUCGAGAUUUUUCCAAUGCGCACUAAAAUAAGAUGGGCAAAUUUUAAAUCUUGAUGUACAAGCUAUCAAUUUUCUAUUAUAAUGAUGAUUACCUUUAUCACCAAUAUUAAUAACAAUAGAUUUAAAAUCAUUGUUAUGUAAUUUUUGCAUAUAUGAUAAUGCUAACAUGGGCGAAUUUGGGGGACCAUUAUUUACAAUUAUAAUAACCUGUUUUUUUUUAAUUAAAGAAAUUCUAUUGUUAUACGAAUUUAUAAUCAACUUAAGCGCAGCUGUUAAAUUGGCAGUACCUCCUGGUUGAUAAUAUAGUCGCAUUUGUUUA